rnacentral:rRNA from 1 species
ACGAACGCUGGCGGCGUGCCUAAUACAUGUCAGUAGCACGCUGAAGAGAGGAGCUUGCUCUUCUUGGAUGAGUUGCGAACGGGUGAGUAACGCGUAGGUAACCUGCCUUGUAGCGGGGGAUAACUAUUGGAAACGAUAGCUAAUACCGCAUAACAAUGGAUGACACAUGUCAUUUAUUUGAAAGGGGCAAUUGCUCCACUACAAGAUGGACCUGCGUUGUAUUAGCUAGUAGGUGAGGUAAUGGCUCACCUAGGCGACGAUACAUAGCCGACCUGAGAGGGUGAUCGGCCACACUGGGACUGAGACACGGCCCAGACUCCUACGGGAGGCAGCAGUAGGGAAUCUUCGGCAAUGGGGGCAACCCUGACCGAGCAACGCCGCGUGAGUGAAGAAGGUUUUCGGAUCGUAAAGUUCUGUUGUAAGUCAAGAACGGGUGUGAGAGUGGAAAGUUCACACUGUGACGGUAGCUUACCAGAAAGGGACGGCUAACUACGUG